CACGUAGGGGCCAAGCGUUGUCCGGAUUUAUUGGGCGUAAAGAGCUCGUAGGCGGUUCGACAAGUCGGGGGUGAAAACUCCGGGCUCAACCCGGAGACGCCACCCGAUACUGUCGUGACUGGAGUCCGGUAGGGGAGUGGGGAAUUCCUGGUGUAGCGGUGAAAUGCGCAGAUAUCAGGAGGAACACCGGUGGCGAAGGCGGUUCUCUGGGCAUGUCCUGACGCUGAGGAGCGAAAGUGUGGGGAGCGAACAGG
rnacentral:rRNA from 1 species